AUUGAACGCUGGCGGCAGGCCUAACACAUGCACGUCGAACGAGUGGCGGACGGGUGAGUAAUGUCUGGGACUCUGCCUGAUGGAGGGGGAUAACUACGGGAAACGGUAGCUAAUACCGCAUACCAUCGGAUGUGCCCAGAUGUGAUUAGCUUGUAGGUGAGGUAACGGCUCACCUAGGCGACGAUCCCUAGCUGGUCUGAGAGGAUGACCAGCCAAACUGGGACUGAGACACGGUCCAGACUCCUACGGGAGGCAGCAGUGGGGAAUAUUGCACAAUGGGCGCAAGCCUGAUGCAGCCAUGCCGCGUGUAUGAAGAAGGCCGUCGGGUUGUAAAGUACUUUCAGAGGGGAGGCGUUACUCGCAGAAGAAGCACCGGCUAACUCCGUGCCAGCCGCCGCGGUAAUAC
rnacentral:rRNA from 1 species